UACGUAGGAGGCAAGCGUUGUCCGGAAUCACUGGGCUUAAAGCGUGUGUAGGCGGACUCGUAAGUGCUUUGUGAAAUCCCACGGCUCACCCGUGGAACUGCUUGGCAUACUGCGAGCCUUGAGCCACUUAGGGGCAACCGGAACAAACGGUGGAGCGGUGAAAUGCGUAGAUAUCGUUUGGAACGCCAAUGGUGAAAACAGGUUGCUGGGAGUGCGCUGACGCUGAGACACGAAAGCCAGGGGAGCGAACGGG
rnacentral:rRNA from 1 species